rnacentral:rRNA from 1 species
AGCGAACGCUGGCGGCAGGCCUAACACAUGCAAGUCGAACGAGCUCUUCGGAGUUAGUGGCGGACGGGUGAGUAACACGUGGGAACGUGCCUUUUGGUUCGGAAUAACUCAGGGAAACUUGUGCUAAUACCGAAUGUGCCCUUCGGGGGAAAGAUUUAUCGCCAUUAGAGCGGCCCGCGUCUGAUUAGCUAGUUGGGGAGGUAACGGCUCACCAAGGCGACGAUCAGUAGCUGGUCUGAGAGGCUGACCAGCCACACUGGGACUGAGACACGGCCCAGACUCCUACGGGAGGCAGCAGUGGGGAAUCUUGCGCAAUGGGCGAAAGUCUGACGCAGCCAUGCCGCGUGAAUGAUGAAGGUCUUAGGAUUGUAAAAUUCUUUCACCGGUGACGAUAAUGACGGUACCCGGAGAAGAAGCCCCGGCUAACUUCGUG